rnacentral:lncRNA from 1 species
GCUCAUGUGCCAUCUAUGUGGAUUCUAGUACCCCCUAAGAAAUUAAAGUAAUUCUUCGAAUUGGAGGUAGAGGCUAUCGAUUCGUAUGAAAUAGUGAGAAAGCUUUUAGACUAAAGUCCAUAUCUUUAGGCUUAAUAAAUUUAUAUACUAAUUAGGUUUUAAUUUUUCUUUAUGUGUGCAGAUAUGGCCUCAGACUUAUUGCUCCGAUCACUGUUAGACAGUGAGAAGUUGACGGGAUCCAAUUUUGAUAACUGGUAUCGAAAGCUUA